rnacentral:rRNA from 1 species
UACGUAGGGUGCGAGCGUUAGUCGGAAUUACUGGGCGUAAAGUGUGCGCAGGCGGCCAUGCAAGUCGAGUGUGAAAGCCCCGGGCUUAACUUGGGAAUUGCGCUCGAAACUACGUGGCUGGAGUGUGGCAGAGGAAGGUGGAAUUCCACGUGUAGCGGUGAAAUGCGUAGAGAUGUGGAGGAACACCAAUGGCGAAGGCAGCCUUCUGGGCCAACACUGACGCUCAUGCACGAAAGCGUGGGGAGCAAACAGG